GCGGAGGAAAAGAAACCAACAGGGAUGCCCUAGUAACGGCGAGUGAAGCGGCAACAGCUCAAAUUUGAAAUCUGGCUUCGGCCCGAGUUGUAAUUUGUAGAGGAAGAUUUAGGCGCGGCACCUUCUGAGUCCCCUGGAACGGGGCGCCAUAGAGGGUGAGAGCCCCGUAUAGUUGGAUGCCUAGCCUGUGUAAAUCUCCUUCGACGAGUCGAGUAGUUUGGGAAUGCUGCUCAAAAUGGGAGGUAAAUUUCUUCUAAAGCUAAAUAUUGGCCAGAGACCGAUAGCGCACAAGUAGAGUGAUCGAAAGAUGAAAAGCACUUUGAAAAGAGGGUUAAAUAGCACGUGAAAUUGUUGAAAGGGAAGCGCUUGUGACCAGACUUGCGCCGGGCGGAUCAUCCGGUGUUCUCACCGGUGCACUCCGCCCGGCUCAGGCCAGCAUCGGUUCUCGUGGGGGGAUAAAGGCCCUGGGAACGUAGCUCCUCCGGGAGUGUUAUAGCCCAGGGUGUAAUGCCCUCGCGGGGACCGAGGUUCGCGCAUCUGCAAGGAUGCUGGCGUAAUGGUCAUCAGCGACCCGUCUUGAAACACGGACCAAGGAGUCAAGGUUUUGCGCGAGUGUUUGGGUGUAAAACCCGCACGCGUAAUGAAAGUGAACGUAGGUGAGAGCUUCGGCGCAUCAUCGACCGAUCCUGAUGUAUUCGGAUGGAUUUGAGUAGGAGCGUUAAGCCUUGGACCCGAAAGAUGGUGAACUAUGCUUGGAUAGGGUGAAGCCAGAGGAAACUCUGGUGGAGGCUCGCAGCGGUUCUGACGUGCAAAUCGAUCGUCAAAUCUGAGCAUGGGGGCGAAAGA
rnacentral:rRNA from 1 species